GCGAACGGACGAGAAGCUUGCUUCUCUGAUGUUAGCGGCGGACGGGUGAGUAACACGUGGAUAACCUACCUAUAAGACUGGGAUAACUUCGGGAAACCGGAGCUAAUACCGGAUAAUAUUUUGAACCGCAUGGUUCAAAAGUGAAAGACGGUCUUGCUGUCACUUAUAGAUGGAUCCGCGCUGCAUUAGCUAGUUGGUAAGGUAACGGCUUACCAAGGCAACGAUGCAUAGCCGACCUGAGAGGGUGAUCGGCCACACUGGAACUGAGACACGGUCCAGACUCCUACGGGAGGCAGCAGUAGGGAAUCUUCCGCAAUGGGCGAAAGCCUGACGGAGCAACGCCGCGUGAGUGAUGAAGGUCUUCGGAUCGUAAAACUCUGUUAUUAGGGAAGAACAUAUGUGUAAGUAACUGUGCACAUCUUGACGGUACCUAAUCAGAAAGCCACGGCUAACUACGUGCCAGCAGCCGCGGUAAUACGUAGGUGGCAAGCGUUAUCCGGAAUUAUUGGGCGUAAAGCGCGCGUAGGCGGUUUUUUAAGUCUGAUGUGAAAGCCCACGGCUCAACCGUGGAGGGUCAUUGGAAACUGGAAAACUUGAGUGCAGAAGAGGAAAGUGGAAUUCCAUGUGUAGCGGUGAAAUGCGCAGAGAUAUGGAGGAACACCAGUGGCGAAGGCGACUUUCUGGUCUGUAACUGACGCUGAUGUGCGAAAGCGUGGGGAUCAAACAGGAUUAGAUACCCUGGUAGUCCACGCCGUAAACGAUGAGUGCUAAGUGUUAGGGGGUUUCCGCCCCUUAGUGCUGCAGCUAACGCAUUAAGCACUCCGCCUGGGGAGUACGACCGCAAGGUUGAAACUCAAAGGAAUUGACGGGGACCCGCACAAGCGGUGGAGCAUGUGGUUUAAUUCGAAGCAACGCGAAGAACCUUACCAAAUCUUGACAUCCUUUGACAACUCUAGAGAUAGAGCUUUCCCCUUCGGGGGACAAAGUGACAGGUGGUGCAUGGUUGUCGUCAGCUCGUGUCGUGAGAUGUUGGGUUAAGUCCCGCAACGAGCGCAACCCUUAAGCUUAGUUGCCAUCAUUAAGUUGGGCACUCUAAGUUGACUGCCGGUGACAAACCGGAGGAAGGUGGGGAUGACGUCAAAUCAUCAUGCCCCUUAUGAUUUGGGCUACACACGUGCUACAAUGGACAAUACAAAGGGCAGCGAAACCGCGAGGUCAAGCAAAUCCCAUAAAGUUGUUCUCAGUUCGGAUUGUAGUCUGCAACUCGACUACAUGAAGCUGGAAUCGCUAGUAAUCGUAGAUCAGCAUGCUACGGUGAAUACGUUCCCGGGUCUUGUACACACCGCCCGUCACACCACGAGAGUUUGUAACACCCGAAGCCGG
rnacentral:rRNA from 1 species